CCUUCGAUAGCUCAGUUGGUAGAGCGGGGGCUGUAGAUUUAUAAUUGUGAUCGCUAGGUUCGCUGGUUCGAAUCCGGCUCAAGGAU
rnacentral:tRNA from 1 species